AAAUUAAAAUAAAGAAUACUGUCUUAACUUAAUUAUAUAUCGAUUUUGAACACACACUUUUACCUUCUCGUAACAACAGAAAAAAUAUUAAGUUAGUGAAACUUGUAUAUCUAGUGAGCAUCCUUUAAAAGUUGAGUAAAGGCGGAAUUUGCCCGGACGUGUUUUUCUGCCAGAGAAGGACUACUAGGAGCCGGAGAAACAGGAGAAUCGAGGCUAUAUAGGAUGAUGAGGUGCCACAAAUUUUGACCCAGCCAACGCCAGUAUUAUUAUUGAGGGAACGGAAGUCCUGCAAGACCUGGAUGUAUCCAGAGCCUGUGCCCUGCUAGGGCUGGUAUAUGCUCUCAACCUCAGCUACCCAAAGGAA